GGGUCGGACCGCGGGCCGACGCGCUGCCCGCGCCGGCGUCCGCCUCGCGCUCGUCCGUCCACAGGGACCGGGGGCCGCGGGAAGAUGGCGACCCCGGGCGCGGGCUGGCAGCCCCACCUCGGCCUGGAGCUCGGCGCCGACGUGCACCUGCGGAUGAGCAAGAAGAUCGCGCAGCUCACCAAGGUCAUAUAUGCUUUGAACACUAAAAAUGAUGAGCAUGAAUCUGCUAUUCAAGCCCUCAAAGAUGCUCAUGAGGAAGAAAUCCAACAAAUUCUUGCAGAAACAAGAGAAAAAAUACUACAGUAUAAAAGCAAAGUAACAGAGGAGCUAGACCUGAAGAGGAAGAUCCAAGUUUUAGAGGCAUCCUUGGAAGAUCACAUAAAAAUGAAGCAACAGGCUUUGACAGAAUUUGAAGCCUAUAAGCACAGAGUUGAGGACAUGCAACUCUGUGCAGAAGCCCAGCAUGUCCAGCGCAUAGUGACCAUGUCCAGAGAGGUCGAGGAGAUCAGAAGGAAGUUUGAAGAAAGGUUACGGAGCUUUGGACAGCUCCAGGUGCAGUUUGAGAAAGACAAGCGGUGUGCGCUGGAAGAUCUUCGGACUGCUCACUGCCGGGAGAUGCAGGAGCUGCUGAAAUCACAGCAGGAUCACAGUGCUUCAGUGAGCAAAGGGCAAGAGAAGGCAGAGGAGCUGCACAGGAGGGAGGUGGAGGCCUUAAACAAAACACUAGAGGAGCUCAGACUUGAAAAGAAAAGGCUCACUGAGGAGUAUGAAGGCAAGUUGAAUAAAGCGCAGUGCUUUUAUGAGCGUGAGCUUGAUACUUUGAAAAGGUCACAGCUUUUUACAGCAGAAAGCCUACAGGCUAGCAAAGAAAAGGAAGCUGAUCUUCGGAAAGAAUUUCAGGGACAGGAAGCAAUUUUACGAAAAACCAUAGGAAAAUUAAAAACAGAGUUACAGAUGGUCCAGGACGAAGCCAGCAGCCUUCUUGACAAAUGCCAGAGGCUUCAGACGGCCCUCGCCACGGCAGAGAGCAAUGCUCAGGUUCUUCAAAAACAGCUUGAUGAUGCCAAGGAGGGAGAAAUGGCCUUAUUAAGCAAGCACAAAGAGGUGGAAAGUGAACUAGCAGCUGCUAGAGAACGUUUACAACAGCAAGCAUCAGACCUUGUCCUCAAAGCCAGUCAUAUUGGAAUGCUUCAAGCAACUCAGAUGACCCAGGAGGUUACAAUCAAAGAUUUAGAAUCAGAAAAAUCAAGGGCCUAUGAAAGAUUGUCUCAGCUUGAAGAAGAAAGAGCUUUCUUGCAGAGCAGAAAUGAAAGUCUGGAUGAAGAGCAGAAGCAACAGACCCUGGAGCUGGAGAAGAAAGUACAUGAAGCAAAGAGAACUCAGCAAGAAUAUUAUGAAAUGGAGCUUAAAAACCUGCAAAAUAGAUUGGAAGGGGAGGUGACUCAACUAAAUGAAGCCCAUUCAAAGACUCUGGAGGAAUUAGCCUGGAAGCACCACAUGGCGAUUGAGGCUGUCCAUAGCAAUGCAGUUCGAGACAAGAAGAAGCUGCAAGUGGAAUUGGAGGAACAGUAUGAGAAGGAGAAGCUGGCCCUGGAAGAGGAUAAGCAUCAGCUUCAGCGAGAGCUGGAAGACCUGAAGGAGGAGCUGGAGGACAAGAUGUGCGCGGCCACCCAGGAGAUCGGCUGCCUCCGGGACCUGGUGCGGAAGAGCGAGCAGGGUCUAGGCUCGGCUGAGGGCCUCAUCUCCAGGCUCCAGGACUCUCAGGAGAGGCUGCAGAGCGAGCGCGACGCCACCAAAGGCAGGCUCAGGGACACCAGGGACGCGCUGUGGAGUGUGGAGGCUGAGCUGGAGCAAGAGAGGCACCAGCAUGAGGAAGCACUUGCUGCCAUGAAGGAAGAGGAGAAGCUCAGAGUGGACAGGAUGGCCCACGACUUGGAGAUAAAGUGGACUGAAAAUCUUAGACAAGAGUGCUGUAAACUUCGUGAAGAGUUACGGCUUCAGCAUGAAGAGGAUAAGUCAGCAAUGUCUCAGCUGCUGCAGUUAAAAGAGCGAGAGAAAAAUGCCGCCAGGGACUCGUGGCAGAAGAAAGUGGAAGAUCUCCUAAACCAGAUUUCCCUGCUGAAGCAAAAUCUGGAGAUGCAGCUUUCCCAGUCUCAGACUUCCUUGCAGCAGCUGCAAGCCCAGUUUACCCAAGAACGCCAGCAACUUACACAGGAGCUUGAGGAGUUAGAGGAACAACAUCAGCAAAGACAUAAAUCCUUGGAAGAAGCCCAUGUCCUUGCAUUUCAGACCAUGGAAGAGGAAAAAGAAAAAGAACAAAGAGCCCUUGAAAACCACUUAGAGCAGAAGCACUCUGCAGAGCUGCAGGCCCUGAAGGACGCGCACCGGGAGUCCAUGGAGGGCUUCCGGGCAGAGAUGGAGCAGGAGCUGCAGACUCUGCGCUUCGAGCUGGAAGACGAAGGGAAGGCCAUGCUUGCUUCCUUACGCUCAGAACUUAACCGUGAGCACGCAGCUGCAGUGGACUUGUUACGGCAUAACCACCACCAGGAGCUAGCAGCUGCCGAGAUGGAGUUGGACAGGAGCGUGGACAUUGGCAGAAGACAGAGCAAGGAGCAUAUGUGUAGAAUAACAGAUCUGCAAGAGGAGUUACGGCUCAGAGAGCACCACAUCUCCGACCUGGACAAGGAGGUACAGCACCUUCAUGAGAACAUAAGCGCCCUCACCAAAGAGUUGGAAUUUAAGGGGAAAGAAAUCCUGAGGAUACGAAGUGAAUCUAACCAGCAGAUGAGGUUGCAUGAACAAGAUUUAAACAAGAGGCUUGAAAAAGAGCUGGAUGUCAUGACAGCAGACCACCUCAGAGAGAAAAAUAUCAUGCGGGCGGAUUUUAAUAAGACUAAUGAGCUCCUCAAGGAAAUAAAUGCAGCUUUACAAGUGUCACUAGAAGAAAUGGAAGAAAAAUAUCUAAAGAGAGAAUCGAAACCGGAAGAUAUACAGAUGAUUGCAGAAUUAAGAGCCAUGCUUACAGAAAGAGACCAGGUCAUAAAGAAACUAAUUGAGGAUAAUAAAUUUUAUCAACUGGAAUUAGUCAAUCGAGAAACUAACUUCAACAAAGUGUUUAACUCGAGUCCUACUGUUGGUGUUAUUAAUCCACUGACCAAGCAAAAGAAGAAGAAUGAUAAAUCACCAACAAACAGGUUUGUGAGUGUUCCCAACCUAAGUGCUCUGGAAUCUGGUGGAGUGGGCAAUGGACAUCCUAACCGCCUGGACCCCAUUCCUAAUUCUCCAGUCCACGAUGUUGAGUUCAACAGCAGCAAACCACUUCCACAGCCAGUGCCACCCAAAGAGUCCAAGACAUUUUUGAGUCCUCCUCAGGGUGAAGCUUCUCCGGCGGCUUCUCCAGACACCCAGCGCCAGGAGUGGUUUGCCCGCUACUUCACCUUCUGAAGGAGCUGUGCUGGCCCUGCUGUGUGCUCUCCUCUGAGGGCAUCGGCAGGCUGUCCUGCGUCAGGCGCUGUGAACGACUUGGAAUACUUAUGUCUCUCUGGCUUGGAUGAACGCACUGUAUUUCCUGUGAUAUUUAUUGGAAUCACUCUAUAAGUACCUUCGAUGGAGACACCAGAACACCCACCACACAAUCCCAGCCUCUGCGACUGGUAAAGCUUGCAACCUGUGCUCUUCCCAUUAUGCCGUGAAAGGACAGGAACCCUUAGUGAGGAAAUGAACCUGAUUCUUCACCAUGUUUAGCAGGUCAUACAAUGAUGAGAUUUCGGUUGUAGGAAGUUGGCUGCAGUUGGUUCAGAAGAGAUGGAUGGGAACUGACUACAGCAAGACUUGGAGUGCCUGACUGAGUUGGUUCAGAUGAAGACUAAACUGAAAAGACGUCUGUGGGAAUGGAGACGAAAGAGUAGUAUGGAGACAGAACUGCUGGGAGCUGGUGACAAAUACAUGGAACACAAAGGGCAGACAUGGACAAGGGUGAAGUUUCAGUUCAGAAACGCUGGAAUUAAAGUUUCUCUGUAAUAAUUAAUAGGCCUCUAAACAAGGAGCCAGAGCUCAGAAAACUGUCUGAGCUGGAGCUGUUGAGGGAGACGUUGGCCUUUAAGUCAUUCAGGACUUGCAUGAGAAUGGAAGGCAGUGACAGCUGCAGAAAAGCAGAGUACUGGAAGAACAAAGUGUCACAGACAGACAGAGACUCAGAGACAGACAGACAAGAGACAGAGGCAGGCAGGCACCACAGGUAUAAAGAUGUGGAAAAAAUGAACCAGAAAAUAAUCUUCGCAAGAACAGAUCCAGGGCAGCAGUAGCACCAAAAGCCAGACUCCAGGAGAGAGGCAAAGGGGAGCUGAGGACACCAGGACAGUGGUGAAAACCAUCUUGAAGGAAGCAGCUAUCCUGGGAGCCAGGAGAGAUUGGUUUUUGCUUCUAUAGAAGUCUCGUGUGCGAGUCAUGCUGCCCUUAGCUGCGCUCCUGUCCUGCCAUCCAAGACGUCACAGCGUGCAGGAUCAUUGAGGCCUCCGCUGUGACCAGGGCUGGGCAGUUGAUCCUUUCCCACACACCAACUGCUGGCUCUUCGGGCACGCCACUGGGGACCAAUAGGCAGACUCGGACUUUUAGUAUGAAAAGCCAGCUUAUGAAUCUGCAGCUCGCUCAGGGUGGUCUCCAUCUCUCGGAUAAUCCCAGGAAUAUAUUAUCUAUCUUAUUUUCUGAAUGUAGUUUAAUUUUUUUUUUUUUUUUUUUUGGUGCCAGGGAUCAAGCUCAGGACCUUGCGCUUGUGAGGCAGGCGCGGUACCACUGAGUUAAAUCCCCAGCCCUAAUUUUAAUAAUAUAAUUUUAAUGUACUUUCAGUAGCAGUGAAAAACUGUUUAAGAUAGAAUACAGACCAAAUUGCAUACAGUGGUGCACACCUGUAAUCCCAGCACUCAGGAGGCUGAGGCAGGAGGACAUGAGUUCAAGGCCAGGCUGGGCUGCAUAGCUAGUUCAAGGCCAGCCUAGAGUUCAUACCGAGACCCCGUCUCAACUCUUCUCCUCUGCAGAAAGAGAACAGACCACCCAGAAACAGACUCUCCCAUAUCUGUCAAAUGAUUUUCAAGAAGGGUGACCACACCAUUUAGCCGGGAAAGGAUAAUCUUUAACAAAUGGUGCUUGGUCAACUGGAUAGACACAUGCAGAAGAAUGAAGCUGGACCCAUACCUUACACUCUACACAAAAGUCAAUUCAGAAUGGAUCAAAGAUCUGAAUGUAAUAGCUAAAAUGAUCAAGUUCUUAGAAGAAAAAAAUGAGAUAAAACCUUUAUGAUGUUGGAUAUGAUACCAGAAGCACCGACAACAAAAAGAUUAAUAAAUUGUAGUUCAUAAAAACUUAAAACUUCUGUGUAUCAAAGGACACUGUCAGCAGGGUGAAAAAGACGACCCAGAAAAUGGGAGAAAAUAUUUGCAAAGCAUAUAUGUGAUAAAGGAUUAACACCCAGAACAUAAAAGAAUUUCUAAAAGUUAGCAACAAUAGAAAGCCAAUUCAAAAGAGGGCAAAGGACUUGAAUAAUUUCUGCAAAGAAGACCUACAGAUGGCCACUAAGUCAAUGAAAAGAUGUCUGUGAAGAGAAGUUUGGUGUCACCAGUUACUCAGGAAAUGGAGUCAAACCACAAUGAAACAGUACACACCACACCCAUUCCAAUAGCUUUUGUUUCUAAAAAUGAAAAGCAUUGGCAAGGAUGAGAAAUCAGUGCAUUGCUAGUACAAAUGUGAAAUGGCAAAGCCCCUGUGGAAAAGUCUGGCAGUUCUUCAAAAAGCCAAGCAUAGAAUUACCAUCUGAUCAAGCAUUUUCACUUCUUUGUAUACGUAUAUGCUCAGUAGAAUACACAGCAGAGACUCAGCACUUCUUUCUUUUACAUCAGUGGCCUCAGGAGUAUUAUUCACAAUAACCAAAAGACAAGCUGGGCAUGGUGGCACAGGCCUAUAAUCCCAGCACUUGGGAGGCUGAGGCAGGAGGAUCACUGCAAGUUUAAGGCCAGCCUGGGCUAAACAGUAAAUUCAAGUCCAGCCACAACUACAUAGCAAGACCCUGUCUAAAAAAGCAAACCCCCAAGAGGUGGAAACACAAAUGUCUUAUUGACAGUUGAAUGGAUAAGCAAAAUGUGACGUAUACAUACAAUAGAACAUUACUGAGCCUUCAAAAAGUGACUACUGGAAGGGUGCACAGGCAAUGGGGAAAAAAUAAGAACCAAGAUACAUCAUAUACAGGACAAGCACCCAAUGAUAAAUGUAAACGUGUUGUAUACCUAAAAUGUACCAAUAAAAGAAUUUAAGCAAAAAAAUAA